UGUGUCUGGGGAAGUGUGAGUUAAGAAGCUAAGUGUGACUUUGCAAGCCACGUGAGGUUUUCGGCAACAUUCAACAAGUGUUUUCAGCUCCUGUUUUUUGUCCUGAUGUUACAUGCUUGAGACACUGGUAAGCGGAAGAAACUCAGCCUGUGACCUCCUCGAGCUGAGAGUUUAGCAGUGGACCUCAGUGUAGGUACAGUAUCUUAGCAAGCACAGGUUGCUGGGUAAGAGCACCGGAACCCUCAUCGAGUGGUGGAGGAAAAGGCUUUUUAAAGGAAAUGACCUUUAAGGGGAAUCCCAAAGGAUGAGUAAGAGCUAGGCAAACAGGAGUGAGUGAGGUGUUCUAGGUCGACGAGUGAUGAAGUUGUGGGAGUCUAGGAAAGGGAGAGGUGUCCUGGAUUAUGGGAAUAGGAGUGAAAUGAAGUCAGAGAAGUAGCUGCACUGGGGCCAUAUUUAUUAGCACAUACAGAUGACUGAUGGAUGUCAGAGGUGGGGGGAGAGGUCAAGGAUUACACCCAGGUUUCCUGCUGGCUGGACCAUGAACCUGUCACUGAGAUAUGGAGCCAUGAUGAAUUCAGUCAUGGACAAUGAGAGUUUGCAGGUGCCUGAGAUAUUCACAUGGACAUACCUAGUGGGCACUUUUUACAUGGGCCUGGAGGUUGGGAAGGAGGACCAGGCACGAGGUAGGGAUGCUAGGCACCAGCAUGGAUGUUACUGAAGCUAUGGGUGUGGUUAUGGGGGCUGAGAAGCAGUCUAGGCUGGAGACCUGAGAAGCACCCACUCUUAAGGGGUAGGCAGAGGAAGAGGGGUCUGUCUAUAAAUGACAUCAUUAGUAAACCCUGUGGCUUAGACAGUAGUCAGCACCACCUUCACCUCCAGCUUACCAAAUAUUUUCACAUAUGUUAUCCAAUGAAGUAAGUGGGACACAUUAUUCCUAUUCCGCAGUUGGAGAAAUUGAGGUCAACAAAGGUUACAUGACUUAGCCAAUUCCACCCAGAGGUCUAUCUUUAUAAUACAUCAAAGGUCAUCACAUUCCAAAGGUUUUUUUUUUUUGCCCAUUCAGCGGGUAUGGUUACAAGACCUCCAACCUUCCUACUCACCCACACCCAAGCCUCUUCCCCUCUCGGAGAUCCGGGAGCCCUUUGGCAACUGCUUUGUUUUAGUUUGGUUUUUUUUCCUUCAUUGUUAUCAGUCCUAUUGCUAAUGAUAAUAGCUAGCACUUAUGUAGCAGUUGGGUAAGCAAGACGUUGUUCUAAAUGCUUCACAUAUGUUAACAUGUUUAAUCCCCACAACAACCCUGUUAGGUAAAUACUACGAUUAUCCCUAUUUUACAGUUGAAAACAUUGAGGCCCAAGGCCACAAGCUGCUACAUAGAGCUAAGGGGAUUUAAACCCAGAGGAGUCUGAUCGCAAGGUCCCGGGCUGCUGCUGAGCCUCCAUGGCAUUUUGUCGCAGGAGGAGAGAAGAAAACCACCGACCUGGUCCUCCCUUCUUUUAUGGAGCUGGCAGCAGCCUGAACCUUUGUUUGGAGGAAAGGAGAAGCACCCCUUUGCCUUGUCCUGAUCCGCCCUUCAGUUCCCUCUGCUACACUCCCAAGUUCCCCAAAGGUGACUUCCUCUUUUGCCAGACUGGGAAGAGGUGAUUGGUGACCUUUCUGGACUGUUUACUUCCUGUGUUUAGAAAUCCAGCUUCACAGUUUUACACCAGAUUGGGCCUUUUGGAAUGUGCCUCUAUUUGUAGUUCAACAAACUGUUAUCUGGCUACAGGUCUUGGUUCCUACUUCUUAUCAAUCUGUUCCUCCGCUUUCUGUUUUUAUUGUCCUAUUUCUGGCCUCGCCAACAAGAAGGUCUUAUUGUACCUGUCCCGUUGGGAGUCUUUCCUACAACAAACACUAGAUUGUUCUCACUCCCUGGCUUCCUGGUUAGCUCUCAGUUAGAGUGGCUGAUACUCACAGUGGAUCUUCAGCUCAGCGCUGACAAAAAAACCAAAAACCAAACCAAAAAAUGAAAACCCCACAGGAACUACUAGAUGUCCUGGAAAUUUUCAGUCUUAGUGAAACAGACAAAACAAUUUUGACAGGAAUGCUGCCUUGGAAGAUAAUGGCAUCCCAAAACAGUCUGAGUUGCUUGCUGCCCUCUCUUGCCAUGCCACUUUCCCUUCUCUGCUGCUUCUCUUCCAAGAAACUUCUGGUCACAUUCCUCCCUGGAAGGUAGAGGAGGGGAAGACCAACACUGUUGAGCACCUAUUAGGCAUCAGGCCAUGCAUUUCAUCCUCAAAAUCAACUUGUGAGGCAGGUGAUGACAGAAAUCAAGGGAUAGACGGAUUAGGAACUUGCCCAAAUCAGUUAGCAAGAAAGUGGCCCUGAAACACGUGUCACGUUCUUAACAACCAGGUCAGGGCUUCCCCUCUUAUAAACUCUUGUAUUGUCAGCUUCCCAAGUCAGUCUCCUUCACCAGGUUCUGAGUUCCUCCAGGGCAGAGGCUGUGUCUUCCUGUACACAUUAGGCACUCAACAAAUGUCAGUUUCUUUAUUGCUUUCUCUUCCCUUAUCUGUCACUAAGCAGGCUUGAAUCUGUCGUCUAAUGAUGUGCCUGGCAUUCUCCGUAAUUCAAGGAUGUAUUAGGGCUUCCCUGGUGGCGCAGUGGUUGAGAGUCCGCCUGCCGAUGCAGGGCACACGGGUUCGUGCCCCGGUCCGGGAAGAUCCCACCCACAUGCCGCGGAGCGGCUGGGCCCGUGAGCCAUGGCCGCUGGGCCUGCGGGUCCGGAGCCUGUGCUCCGCAACGGGAGAGGCCACAACAGUGAGAGGCCCGUGCACCACAAAAAAAAAAAAAAAAAAAAAAAAAAGGAUGUAUUAGUGUUUAUGCCCCUUGAUUUACUCGAGGAAAUAAUAUCAACACACAUGUUACGAAUAAUACAAAGCAGUAAGUACAUUAAGUGCUCAGUUGGGUGGAAGAAGGAAGGAGAUUAAUGAGGGCAGAAAUAGAUAUGAUAGAAAUAAACUUCGUAAAAGAUAUGGGGUCUUCAGCCAUGGAGGAUGAAUAGGAUUUAGAGGUUAAUCUGUGCCUUGCGACCACAAGCAGGUAACAAGCUCCUAUCCUGUGGCAGACAUGGUCUGGGUUUGGAGAACGAGGAUUCAGGGGAAAUAAGUAAAUGAUCAACUAGGGAAGUGCAUUUGGGGCUGAACUUCGGUGCCUCCCAGGAGGAGUAAGAAACCGAAGCUCAGAGCUGUCACAUAAGGAACACUGCAUCCUAUUGAGAGGUUGAGGUGAUGGGAAGAACUGAUCUUUUCUCUUCCCCCAAAGAAUAUUUUUUAGGAGGGAUGAAUGAGGGAUGGGUGCCAAUUGCCAAGCAUUAAUUAGUAUCCCUUUUAGAUUCACCCUCAGCAAUGCUCGUUUUCUCAGAAAGAAAAUUGGUUUUCAAAAGUGUCAGAAGGACACAGCUUUUCCUAGAGAUCUUGAUUAAUCUUGAGUUAAUUAAUCUCACUUCUAAAGCUGUGAAAUCUUAACAUAUCACACAGGUCCAGAGGGGUCUGGAAAGAAAACACAGAUUCAAAAGGAAAACACUCAUUAGAAGAUAUGUGCAUGACCAGCAGGCAGGGGUCAGUCUGUGCUCCAAUGAAAAAUUACACACAGUGUAGGGCUUCCCUGGUGGCGCAGUGGUUGAGAGUCCGCCUGCCGAUGCAGGGGACGCGGGUUUGUGCCCCGGUCCGGGAAGAUCCCACAUGCCGCGGAGCGGCUGGACCCGUGAGCCAUGGCCCCUGAGCCUGCGCGUCCGGAGCCUGUGCUCCGCAACGGGAGGGGCCACAACAGUGAGAGGCCCGCGUACUGCAAAAAAAAAAAAAAAAAA